GGGGUCAUAGCUCAGCUGGUAGAGCGCUACACUGGCAUUGUAGAGGUCAGGGGUUCGACUCCCCUUGACUCCACCA
rnacentral:tRNA from 1 species